rnacentral:rRNA from 1 species
UACGUAGGGCGCGAGCGUUGUCCGGAAUUAUUGGGCGUAAAGAGCUCGUAGGCGGCUUGUCACGUCGGGUGUGAAAGACCGGGGCUUAACUCCGGUUCUGCAUUCGAUACGGGCUAGCUAGAGUGUGGUAGGGGAGAUCGGAAUUCCUGGUGUAGCGGUGAAAUGCGCAGAUAUCAGGAGGAACACCGGUGGCGAAGGCGGCGCUCUGGGCCGGAACUGACGCUGAGGAGCGAAAGCGUGGGUAGCAAACAGG